ensembl:lncRNA
CUCUUUUCAAAGGCUUUCUAUGGUUUUUGCCUAGCAAUCAAGGAUCUGAGCUGGAAACACAAAGGUCAAAGUUUGAUCCCAGUAAAGAAGGCUUGCACUUGCAGUGGAGUGGCUCUCUUGUGUCUUUCCUCCAGUGUUGAAUGGAAAGAGCAGACCAUCUCUUUUCACCCCAGUGGUCUUGGAGUUGCUCUCUGAUGUCCGUGGGGGUUCCCCUCUAUUCUCUCCCUGCUGAAUCCCACCUCGCGGGGACCUUUCCCAAUCCUUGUAAAGGAAUAUGUUUCAGAAUGCUUACUGUGCAAGGUUUUAUACCAUCCAAUUUGAGCUGUGUGAACGUCUGGAAAGCUUCCAAAGAGCCUCAGAUCUUCCAGCAUUCCUCAGGAGAGCUGAAAGCGAGCUGCGGCCAAACACAUGAGCCUUUCACAUGAGCUCGGUGAUCAGUACCACACUACAGCUGCCGUUCACUCCUCCCUUUGGCCUGCUAAUUCUUACUUCUCUCUGUCCUUCUCUCGUUUUCUCUCCUGUUGUGUUCACCCC